AGUGCCGGAAGGUUAAAAGGAGAAGUCAGCGCAAGCAAAGCUUUGAAUUGAAGCCCCGGUGAACGGCGGCCGUAACUAUAACGGUCCUAAGGUAGCGAAAUUCCUUGUCAGGUAAAUUCUGACCCGCACGAAAGGUGUAAUGAUCCCUUCGCUGUCUCGGCUGCAGACUCGGUGAAAUUUUAGUACCGGUGAAGAUGCCGGUUACCCGCAACUAGACGGGAAGACCCCGUGGAGCUUUACUAUAACUUGAUAUUGAAAUUUGGUAUAACGUGUAGAGGAUAGGUGGGAGACUGUGAGACUAGGACGCUAGUUCUAGUGGAGUCAACCUUGGAAUACCACCCUCGUUAUAUUGGAUUUCUAACUUGAAUCCAUUAUCUGGAUUAAGGACAGUGUCUGGUGGGUAGUUUGACUGGGGCGGUCGCCUCCCAAAAAGUAACGGAGGCGCUCAAAGGUAUCCUCAGUAUGGUUGGAAAUCAUACAUAGAGCGCAAAGGUAGAAGGAUGCUUAACUGCGAGACUUACAAGUCGAACAGAUACGAAAGUAGGACUUAGUGAUCCGGCGGUCCCGUGUGGAAGGGCCGUCGCUCAACGGAUAAAAGUUACCCCGGGGAUAACAGGCUUAUCUCCCCCAAGAGUUCACAUCGACGGGGAGGUUUGGCACCUCGAUGUCGGCUCAUCGCAUCCUGGAGCUGUAGUCGGUUCCAAGGGUUGGGCUGUUCGCCCAUUAAAGCGGUACGCGAGCUGGGUUCAGAACGUCGUGAGACAGU
rnacentral:rRNA from 1 species